rnacentral:snRNA from 1 species
AUACUAACCUGGCAGGGGAGAUACCAUGAUCAAGAAGGUGGUUUUCCCAGGUCGAGGCUUAUCCAUUGCACUCCAGAUGUGCUGACCCCUGUGAUUUCCCCAAAUGCAAGGAACUCGACUGCAUAAUUUGUUGUAGAGGGAGACUGCAUUCACGCUCUCCCCUG